GCCAUAGCACGAUGGAUGUAUGAUUUGGGAAUAACUUUUAAUGCUGUGAAUUAUGAUAUCCUUGGGGAAAUGAUUCUAGCAAUUAGAAAUUAUGGAAGAGAAAUGAAACCUCCAAAUUUUUAUGAGAUUAGAGUUCAGUUACUUAACAAAGAAGUGUAAAUCAUAAAUGAUCUUCUUGAGUCUCAUAAAGAAGAGUGGGAAAAUUAUGGAUGUACAUUGCUGUGUGAUGGAUGGACGGAUAAAAAAAGGAGAACCUUGAUUAAUUUCUUGGUUAAUAGUCCAAAGGGAAGUGUAUU
rnacentral:misc_RNA from 1 species